rnacentral:rRNA from 1 species
UACGAAGGGGGCUAGCGUUGCUCGGAAUCACUGGGCGUAAAGCGCACGUAGGCGGAUUGUUAAGUCAGGGGUGAAAUCCUGGAGCUCAACUCCAGAACUGCCUUGAUACUGGCGAUCUUGAGUCCGGGAGAGGUGAGUGGAACUGCGAGUGUAGAGGUGAAAUUCGUAGAUAUUCGCAAGAACACCAGUGGCGAAGGCGGC